rnacentral:rRNA from 1 species
UACGUAGGUGGCAAGCGUUGUCCGGAAUUAUUGGGCGUAAAGCGCGCGCAGGUGGUUCUUUAAGUCUGAUGUGAAAGCUCUGGGCUCAACCCAGAAAUGGCAUUGGAUACUAUCUGGCUAGAGGAAUGGAGGGGGGACUGGAAUACUUGGUGUAGCAGUGAAAUGCGUAGAUAUCAAGUGGAACACCAGUGGCGAAGGCGAGUCCCUGGACAUUUCCUGACACUGAGGCACGAAAGCUAGGGGAGCAAACAGG